GCGAAAGUGGCGGAAUUGGUAGACGCGCAAGGCUCAGGACCUUGUGGCUCUAAAAAGCCGUGGGGGUUCGAGUCCCCCCUUUCGCACCA
rnacentral:tRNA from 1 species